rnacentral:sRNA from 1 species
ACAUUCCUACUGUGUCUCAGCAUCUGUUCUCCUGGGAAUACAACUGGUCCACCUGAACAUAUGAUCUGUGCUGCUGUUGGUGCACGAGGACAGGAGGGAAAUAAGCUGGAAGCCAUGGAUGUGGAGAGUCUGGCUUCAAGAUGGAGCUUGUUUACCUGCAGGGCCCCAUGCAGAACCUCAUGAGACGUGACUUCAGAGGCCUCCUCUCUGACAGGUGAGGGAGGCGUCAGCUCUUCAGAGAGAGAGGCUGCCUUGCCUGGGGACACACAGCUAGCCAGUGGCCGAAGCAGCAGUGGAUGCAGUUGUCCUGAUGCAUAGUUCAAGAACCUUUUUUUUUUUUUUCCACAUGUGAAAACAUCUAUUGGGGAAAUGGAAAAAACAUUUGACCUCACAUUCCUCAUACCUGACAUGUCUCCUUGUUCCCACCCCACUGACCACUGAAUUGCUGCUGGAAUUGCCAGGAACUUCCUGGUGUGGCAGAAGGAAGACUAAGAACCAGGAAGUGGCUGACAAGAAAGGGAGCUGCAUUCUGCAACUGGAGUUAGUAUUUGCUCUGACCUAACACUUUGGGUGAUU